rnacentral:rRNA from 1 species
AUUGAACGCUGGCGGCAGGCCUAACACAUGCAAGUCGAGCGGAUGAAGGGAGCUUGCUCCUGGAUUCAGCGGCGGACGGGUGAGUAUUGCCUAGGAAUCUGCCUGGUAGUGGGGGAUAACGUCCGGAAACGGGCGCUAAUACCGCAUACGUCCUGCGGGAGAAAGUGGGGGAUCUUCGGACCUCACGCUAUCAGAUGAGCCUAGGUCGGAUUAGCUAGUUGGUGGGGUAAAGGCCUACCAAGGCGACGAUCCGUAACUGGUCUGAGAGGAUGAUCAGUCACACUGGAACUGAGACACGGUCCAGACUCCUACGGGAGGCAGCAGUGGGGAAUAUUGGACAAUGGGCGAAAGCCUGAUCCAGCCAUGCCGCGUGUGUGAAGAAGGUCUUCGGAUUGUAAAGCACUUUAAGUUGGGAGGAAGGGCAGUAAGUUAAUACCUUGCUGUUUUGACGUUACCAACAGAAUAAGCACCGGCUAACUUCGUG